GAUGAAGAACGUAGCGAAAUGCGAUAAGUAAUGCGAAUUGCAGAAUUUCCGUGAAUCAUCGAAUCUUUGAACGCACAUUGCGCCCCCUGGUAUUCCGGGGGGCAUGCCUGUCCGAGCGUCAUUGCAACCCUCAAGCGCGGCUUGUGUGUUGGGCUUCGUCCCCCCGUGGACGUGCCCGAAAGGCAGUGGCGGCGUCCCGAAUGGUGCCCGAGCGUAUGGGAACUCUCUUCCGCUCGAACCGGCCCAUUCGGCGCUGGUCGAACCCCAAUUUUUUUUUACCGGUUGACCUCGGAUCAGGUAGGGAUACCCGCUGAACUUAAGCAUAUCAAUAAGCGGAGGA
rnacentral:misc_RNA from 1 species